UACGUAGGGCGCAAGCGUUGUCCGGAAUCAUUGGGCGUAAAGAGCGUGUAGGCGGCCCGGUAAGUCCGCUGUAAAAGUCAAAGGCUCAACCUUUGAAUGUCAGUGGAUACUGCCGGGCUAGAGUCCGGAAGAGGCGAGUGGAACUCCUGGUGUAGCGGUGGAAUGCGCAGAUAUCAGGAAGAACACCAACGGCGAAGGCAGCUCGCUGGGACGGUACUGACGCUGAGACGCGAAAGCGUGGGGGAGCGAACAGG
rnacentral:rRNA from 1 species